rnacentral:rRNA from 1 species
UUCAGUAUUAAUGCGGGCUAUGAUGGGAUGAUAGAAUCCUUGUGGUCACUAGAUUAUACUUGCUUGUAUUAUUUUUGCUGGGUAGGUCGGCGUGCACUUCUUUUCUAGUAGAACGUCGCAACCCGUUGGAUGUUUAUUUAUGGCCUAAAUGGUAGCCUCUGAUAUUUUAAAAUAUCGAAGACCUUUGGUGUCCUGAUAAGCUGUCUGACGGUAAACAUAUAGUAUUGAGCCGCAAUUAUUUGCGUUAGACUUACCGCAAGUAAGAUUUUAGUCUAGUAGUGCAGAUCUAAUGCUGUCGCUGGGCAAAGUCUACUGUUAGCUGUGUAAUGUC